GGAUCCAGACUUUGAUCCUGGCUCAGGAUGAACGCUAGCUACAGGCUUAACACAUGCAAGUCGAGGGGCAGCGGGAUUGAAGCUUGCUUCAAUUGCCGGCGACCGGCGCACGGGUGAGUAACGCGUAUCCAACCUUCCGUACACUCAGGGAUAGCCUUUCGAAAGAAAGAUUAAUACCUGAUGGUAUGAUGAGAUUGCAUGAUAGCAUCAUUAAAGAUUUAUCGGUGUACGAUGGGGAUGCGUUCCAUUAGGUAGUAGGCGGGGUAACGGCCCACCUAGCCAACGAUGGAUAGGGGUUCUGAGAGGAAGGUCCCCCACAUUGGAACUGAGACACGGUCCGAACUCCUACGGGAGGCAGCAGUGAGGAAUGUUGGUCAAUGGACGAGAGUCUGAACCAGCCAAGUAGCGUGAAGGAUGAAGGUCCUACGGAUUGUAAACUUCUUUUAUAAGGGAAUAAACCCUCCCACGUGUGGGAGCUUGUAUGUACCUUAUGAAUAAGCAUCGGCUAACUCCGUGCCAGCAGCCGCGGUAAUACGGAGGAUGCGAGCGUUAUCCGGAUUUAUUGGGUUUAAAGGGAGCGCAGACGGGUCGUUAAGUCAGCUGUGAAAGUUUGGGGCUCAACCUUAAAAUUGCAGUUGAUACUGGCGUCCUUGAGUGCGGUUGAGGUGUGCGGAAUUCGUGGUGUAGCGGUGAAAUGCUUAGACAUCACGAAGAACUCCGAUUGCGAAGGCAGCACACUAAUCCGUAACUGACGUUCAUGCUCGAAAGUGUGGGUAUCAAACAGGAUUAGAUACCCUGGUAGUCCACACGGUAAACGAUGGAUACUCGCUGUUGGCGAUAUACUGUCAGCGGCUUAGCGAAAGCGUUAAGUAUCCCACCUGGGGAGUACGCCGGCAACGGUGCAACUCAAAGGAAUUGACGG
rnacentral:rRNA from 1 species